AUACGUAGGUGGCAAGCGUUGUCCGGAAUUAUUGGGCGUAAAGCGCGCGCAGGUGGUUCCUUAAGUCUGAUGUGAACGCCCCCGGCUCAACCGGGGAGGGUCAUUGGAAACUGGGGAACUUGAGUGCAGAAGAGGAUAGUGGAAUUCCAAGUGUAGCGGUGAAAUGCGUAGAGAUUUGGAGGAACACCAGUGGCGCAGACGGCUGGCUGGUCUGUAACGGGCACUGAAGGGCGAAAGCGUGGGGAGCAAACAGGAUUAGAUACCCUGGUAGUCCACGCCGUAAACGAUGAGUGCUAAGUGUUGGGGGGUUUCCGCCCCUCAGUGCUGCAGCUAACGCAUUAAGCACUCCGCCUGGGGAGUACGGUCGCAAGACUGAAACUCAAAGGAAUUGACGGGG
rnacentral:rRNA from 1 species